AAAUUGAAGAGUUUGAUCAUGGCUCAGAUUGAACGCUGGCGGCAGGCCUAACACAUGCAAGUCGAACGGUAACAGGAAGAAGCUUGCUUCUUUGCUGACGAGUGGCGGACGGGUGAGUAAUGUCUGGGAAACUGCCUGAUGGAGGGGGAUAACUACUGGAAACGGUAGCUAAUACCGCAUAACGUCGCAAGACCAAAGAGGGGGACCUUCGGGCCUCUUGCCAUCGGAUGUGCCCAGAUGGGAUUAGCUAGUAGGUGGGGUAACGGCUCACCUAGGCGACGAUCCCUAGCUGGUCUGAGAGGAUGACCAGCCACACUGGAACUGAGACACGGUCCAGACUCCUACGGGAGGCAGCAGUGGGGAAUAUUGCACAAUGGGCGCAAGCCUGAUGCAGCCAUGCCGCGUGUAUGAAGAAGGCCUUCGGGUUGUAAAGUACUUUCAGCGGGGAGGAAGGGAGUAAAGUUAAUACCUUUGCUCAUUGACGUUACCCGCAGAAGAAGCACCGGCUAACUCCGUGCCAGCAGCCGCGGUAAUACGGAGGGUGCAAGCGUUAAUCGGAAUUACUGGGCGUAAAGCGCACGCAGGCGGUUUGUUAAGUCAGAUGUGAAAUCCCCGGGCUCAACCUGGGAACUGCAUCUGAUACUGGCAAGCUUGAGUCUCGUAGAGGGGGUAGAAUUCCAGGUGUAGCGGUGAAAUGCGUAGAGAUCUGGAGGAAUACCGGUGGCGAAGGCGGCCCCCUGGACGAAGACUGACGCUCAGGUGCGAAAGCGUGGGGAGCAAACAGGAUUAGAUACCCUGGUAGUCCACGCCGUAAACGAUGUCGACUUGGAGGUUGUGCCCUUGAGGCGUGGCUUCCGGAGCUAACGCGUUAAGUCGACCGCCUGGGGAGUACGGCCGCAAGGUUAAAACUCAAAUGAAUUGACGGGGGCCCGCACAAGCGGUGGAGCAUGUGGUUUAAUUCGAUGCAACGCGAAGAACCUUACCUGGUCUUGACAUCCACGGAAGUUUUCAGAGAUGAGAAUGUGCCUUCGGGAACCGUGAGACAGGUGCUGCAUGGCUGUCGUCAGCUCGUGUUGUGAAAUGUUGGGUUAAGUCCCGCAACGAGCGCAACCCUUAUCCUUUGUUGCCAGCGGUCCGGCCGGGAACUCAAAGGAGACUGCCAGUGAUAAACUGGAGGAAGGUGGGGAUGACGUCAAGUCAUCAUGGCCCUUACGACCAGGGCUACACACGUGCUACAAUGGCGCAUACAAAGAGAAGCGACCUCGCGAGAGCAAGCGGACCUCAUAAAGUGCGUCGUAGUCCGGAUUGGAGUCUGCAACUCGACUCCAUGAAGUCGGAAUCGCUAGUAAUCGUGGAUCAGAAUGCCACGGUGAAUACGUUCCCGGGCCUUGUACACACCGCCCGUCACACCAUGGGAGUGGGUUGCAAAAGAAGUAGGUAGCUUAACCUUCGGGAGGGCGCUUACCACUUUGUGAUUCAUGACUGGGGUGAAGUCGUAACAAGGUAACCGUAGGGGAACCUGCGGUUGGAUCACCUCCUUACCUUAAAGAAGC
rnacentral:rRNA from 1 species